UACGUAGGGUGCAAGCGUUAAUCGGAAUUACUGGGCGUAAAGCGUGCGCAGGCGGUUUGGUAAGACAGAUGUGAAAUCCCCGGGCUCAACCUGGGAAUUGCAUUUGUGACUGCCCGACUAGAGUGUGUCAGAGGGGGGUAGAAUUCCACGUGUAGCAGUGAAAUGCGUAGAGAUGUGGAGGAAUACCGAUGGCGAAGGCAGCCCCCUGGGAUAACACUGACGCUCAUGCACGAAAGCGUGGGGACAAACGAGG
rnacentral:rRNA from 1 species